UGGCGAGGUGACGAUCGAUGGGUUCUACGACGCGGUUCUGCCGUUAACCGAUCUGGAACGACAGGCGCUGGCAUCGUUGCCGGUCGAUGUCGGGGCGGUCAUGGAGUCGUUGGAUCUCACGCAGCUCGAUCAGCCACUUGAUCGGGGCUAUUUCGAGCGGCUGUCCGCCUGGCCGACGUUCACGAUCAAUGGCUUGCACGGGGGCUAUGGCGGUCCCGGCUCGAAAACGGUCCUACCGCAUGAGGCGGUCGUCAAGUGCGACAUGCGGCUGGUCGA
rnacentral:misc_RNA from 1 species